AUGACUUUGAUCUGCGUCCUCAUCUGGACUCUCCUCUGCUGCUGCUUCACAGAGUCCAGAGGACAGGUCACAGUGACUCAGUCUGGAGCAGUGAGCUCUGCUCCGGGAGGCUCCGUCUCCAUCAGCUGUAGGCUCAAUUUAGCGGUGACAGUAGGAUCAAGCAGUCGUAAAGAUCUAUUGCAUUGGUACCAACAGAAAGAUGGAGAAACUCCUAAACUGCUGAUUUACAGGGUUAAUGAGCGACAAUCAGGGACUCCAGGUCGUUUUUCAGGCAGUGGAUCAAAGACUGACUUCACUCUGACCAUCAGUGGAGUUCAGGCUGAAGAUGCAGCAGUUUACUACUGUCAGAGUUAUCACUCUAUCAACAGUCAGGAUGUGUUCACACAGUGA